UUAAACUGACGUUUACUAGAACCCUAACAACACACAACAUUCCAGGAAUGUACUACCAAAGUUCUAUCAAUAUUUGAAUGUCCUGGACAUUUAGGGAACAUUCGGUGAACAUCUGAUUAAAUUAUUCGUGGAAUGUUACCAUAAGACAUUCUGUGAACAUACUACCAAUGUUCCUAUAUGUUCAUUUUCAAAUUCACGGCGCAUGUAUUUGUGCAUGGUGCUUAGAGAGGGCAUCACGUGACUAAAAACGACCAAUGACCUCACUUCAGACUUCGGUGCUUCGGCCAUCUUGACAUGCAUCUUGGCCUUGGCCACCUUGCCGUGCGUGAUCGUUGUUUGUUUUUAUUUGUGCUUUUUAAGAAUAUUUUUUAAUUCGGAUACUUUUAUAAUAACUUUAAUAGUAUUAUUAAUAUAGUGCAUAAAAUCAGUUGGAGUAGCAGAAGCAAUGUAGAUAAAAAAUCUGCAGGAAUAAUGUUUCAAAGCUUUCCAGAAGAUCCUGCAAAUAAGGCAUGAAGUAUUGAUCAGAUUUGUUAAUAGAGCAGUAUGUUCAAAACAUUUUUUAGAAAAAGAUAUUGACAGAACUUCACUUUCAACCGUUUGAGAGACUGUGCUGUUCCAAUAGCUUAUAUCACACAGAAUCAGCUGAGAGAAGUGGUCUACAAAAAACCAGGAAGGAAAUGGAAUAUGUGGCUAUGAAAGGCAAAAGAAAGGUUUACAAAGCAAAUGUGACAAAUUUUUUUAUAGGAAUAUCAGUAAAUUACAUUAAAAAAAUGUAUGAAAAGAUUUUUUGCAAUAAAAAUGUUUAUAUUUA
rnacentral:lncRNA from 1 species